rnacentral:rRNA from 1 species
UACAGAGGGCUCAAGCGUUGUUCGGAUUCAUUGGGCGUAAAGGGCGCGUAGGCGGCGCGAUAAGUCAAAGGUGAAAUCCCUCGGCUCAACUGAGGAACUGCCUUUGAGACUGUCGAGCUUGAGGCCGGGAGGGGGUAGCGGAAUUCCCAGUGUAGCGGUGAAAUGCGUAGAUAUUGGGAGGAACACCAGUGGCGAAGGCGGCUACCUGGACCGGUCCUGACGCUGAUGCGCGAAAGCGUGGGUAGCAAACAGG